UCUUGUUUGGGGCUGAAGCCUGACGAUUGAAGUUAGCCGUUCUCAUUUUUACCUUGGGCAAAAUUUCCCUUCCCGGUCGUUUUAAUUUCUGAAGUCGAGGAAGGAAACCCCCAGAAUCCAUCAGGUGGCUGAGGUUUAACCCCUUCGUUGCCUAAUUGGCUAAAGGACAUUUCUGUUUAUCGUAUAAACUCAAAGUUGGGAAGGGAUAUUUUGCACAAGAAAUUGUAUCUUGAAAGCCAUUCUGUAUCUCAAAGUGGUGGGAAUGGGGCUUGUAAAAGAAACUAAAGGGUAGCGUCCAUCAUCAGGAAGUUCGUUGUCUGGUAGAGGAGAUACUGUCCUUGCCCUUAGCGAACAGCAAGUAAGUUAGCCGUUCACGUCGCGGAAAGAGGUAAAACCAUUCUCCAGAAGCUGUAGUUCCAAAGAAUCCCCAGUUUCACUCAACGCCAAGCUAAAGAACAAAGCAGCAGAAAAUAAACAUCUGAUUGAUGAGAAAAACAGAGGACUCUGAAGAGUUCAAGUUCCAGACCCUUAGCACUGCCGUUGUCUGGGAUAUUCUGGGUUAGUGGUAAGAUCCACAGCUUUCAGUAUUUAGUAUUUAGCUUUCAGUGUUUCAUAUAAAUACCUCUGAAUAACCUACCUAAGGUUGAACUGCACAUAAGAACUUGUUGGAAAAGGGCUCACGUUUCUUCCUCUUGUAUCUCUUCAGCAUUUAAUUUCCCACUAUUACUGUUAUUUUGUACUUCCUGGUGUGUUCCUGAGGUCAUUCGUGGAUGCUCUGGCUCCCAGACUAGGGUCAACUCGAGUGUCUCCUGCCAACAACUUAUCUGGAAGGACCAUGACUCUCUGGACUCAGAAGAUCCAAUUCUUCAGCUGUGCCAUCUCCACUGGUUCUUCUUCCACUGUCCUGGUCCUCAGUUCCUGGUGUUUUGGCUUUAGGACAAAAUCUAAACACCGUGUCCUCGAGACUAUCCACGUUAGCCUUCUCUCCAACAGAAGAAUGCAUCUGCCUACUACUAUGCCAUAUUAUCUUUAGAACCACUCUGUGAGGUUAAUGGAGGUGAUUUUUGCAGAGAGAAAGGACUCCACCUGCCCAAAGCAUUUCAAGAUUCGUCAUUUAGGGCUUUGCCCUCUAAUACACACUGUAUGGCUUAACCAAUAAAAAUUACCCAUCAUCUCCUAAGAAUGACUGAGAAUUUACAUGUUGAGGGGUCCCAAAAUGGAUCUCAGGAAAGAACAGAUUUCAAGAGAUCAACUAGCCAUCCUUUGGCUCUUAGGUAGGCUAAUGGUCUAGAAGUUGAGUGUUGGUUGGGAAAGUACUUCAAUUUGGAGUCAAAAGACCUCGGAUAUAAAUCCUGGGUCUGCCAUUUACUGAGUGGAUGAUUUGGAGGAAGUCACCUAACAUCUGUGAGUUAGCCUUCUAUAAAACAGGGAUAAUAA